rnacentral:sRNA from 14 species
AGUGUAGUCUCCUAAAUGCACGUAGCCCUUAUAGGGCUUUUU